UUUUGUGCUGUUUUUGAAGUAUUUAGCCCUUUAAAGAAAAUCAACUUAAAAUUAAAUAUGCAGCAAGGUCCAUCUUGAGAGGGCACACAAAGUGCUUUGUAUUUUUUUUUUUUCUUUCCAUUUGGUAACAGGCUGACAUCGGGAGUGGUAGGAAAGAUCUGACAUGCCUGGAUCAGAAGCCAAAAUCUCAGCACCUCUUCCUUUCUCAGCCACCAGAAACUACAAAAAAAACCCUCAAAUUUUCUCCUUGGUCAGCAGGGCACAGAGAAUGCAACAGCCCCUGAAGUGGUUGAAAUUAUUGCCUUGUGCUCUUUGUUGAAGGUUUUAAAAUUUUUACUUUAAAGGUAGGGGCGCACAUGAAUAUGCUUCAAGAUAUUUCACUCAUGGAAUUGGAGAGGGGUGUAAUUCAGCCUGAAGCCAGGAUUUAUGCUGCACUCUUAUUUUAGUUCCUACUGCCUAGGAGAAUCGUUACUACUCAAAUCACAAAUGGUGUCUGUGGCCUGUGCUAAGUUUUCAAAUUAAUUUAAUUUUAGUUUUGAUAGCUUCAACAGAAUUGUUGAAUAACAUUUCCUUUAGCAGAGGUUUUCCAAACAAAUUUAAUUUCUCCUUGCAAGAAGUGGAAAGAAUGUAUUUUUCUUGUGCCUGCUUGGAGCUACAUGUACCUCUGUGGUCCAGGAGGUGACAUACCCUUCACAAGUGAUUCCUCUAAUAAGCAUAGAGAGGAGAAAUGAAUUGUUGUGAGCUACCAGAAGCUACGAGUAGCUACCAGAUGAUUAAAAAUAUUCUGUACUGAAAUAAGCUAACCAUUGCUCAUCAUUUGGACUUGUGGAGCACAGAGCUGGUUGAGCCUAGGGAGAGAACUGGAAAGCAAACUUCUCAGCUGGAAAAGGGCACCCCCUGAAUUUAAUGGUGUUGGACCAAAUGAAUAGGAAUAAACCUGGAAGACCUUGGCUGAAUGCUGAAUGUGAGUAUGGGCUCAAAACAGCACUUCUUCCAUGUGUCAAAAAUACACUGUUUAAUGGAUUAAAUUAUUUUAUCAUCCUCCAUUUGGAAGACAAAAACCUGCUGUGUGAAGCUCAAGAAGUAAAUAAAAUCUAGUGAUGAAAAACUCAACUCUGAUGGGAAUUUUCCUGGAGAAAGGCCUGCUCAAAUUGACCUGUUCAAUUAAAAUGCAAUAAAAUGCAAUUUCCUUUACAUCAUUACAUGCUAAUGUCUACCUUAGAAUUACAAAUUUGUUGAAACCUGAUCAAUAUGGUUCAUCUGUGGUUUCCUCUUGAUAAUAAAAAAAUGGAAACAGAUGCUUUUAAGGAAACAUGCUAAUAUUUUAAAAUAAAUUUGGUGGUCUAAAUGAAGAGUACUGACGGUACUAAAAAGGGUAAUGAUUUAAUUAUUUUUGUUGAUGUCAGUUAUUCAUUUGUGGGCCAUCAAACUAUAAACUGGGGUACUUUAUUGACUGCAAUAUACACUGGAUAUGUGCCAUAUUAUUCAAGAAAAACAAUACACUGCAAAAACAAUACAGAGAAGAGGUAAUUUGUACAGAGUUCAUGAGACAAUUAUAUAAUCUAAUUACAAAACUGACUCACUGUGUCCUUGGUUCUAUUUAUUAGAAGAGAAUUGAAGGACAUACUAAACAUACUCAGAGUCUAGGAAUUUAAAUUUAAAUCCUGCCUGCAUACCCAAGGAUCCAGGAACUGGUGUGAUCCAGAACAUAGAUCAUGAGUCCCAAAAAAAGGAUGCCUUGAUGUGGGACUCAGGAUACAACUUCAUUUUCCUGUGUGAUGGAAGUUAAACUACUACCCCAUUUUCCUGAGGAGGGCUUUGAAACUCAGUAAAUAUCACAGAAAGACUUUUAAUAUCGUUAAUGGCACACAAAAAUAAUGUAAUUAAUUAUUUAUUUAAAAAGAUGACAGCAGUUUGAAAUCUGUUUGUUUUUCACGUUUCACCGGUAAAAAAGCUUCUGGAGAAAUGCAUCAGGAAUAUUUGAAUGCAAGUGGAGGUAUUUCAUGUUCAAACAGAAACAAAUCACUGAGGUGCCUGAACACAAGACAUCACCAAGGCUUUGCACAUGUCACUCACUCACUCACAGAGAAGCACAUCUAAGCAUGGGAAUGACCAAAGCCUAAAGAAAAAGGUGAAGAAUCAAACAACAGUACAUAGCAUAUAGAAUCCAAACACUCACUGUGGAGAGCACAAUACAUGGAAAGGCAAAAAUGAGGUUCUUUCUCUAAUGAGGAACAACACAAUGAUUUAAAUAAGGAAGGAUAAAUUGCCAACAUUCAGUUGCUGCCUGCACAAAAAAACAUUCCCAAGAAGAGGACUGAUCAGAUUGUGGACGGCUACAAACUUCCAGACAGGCAGUAUGGACUUAGAACUCCUGCUCCUGAGCUCCCUUUCUCAGUUGCAGCUUAUAUAAAAGUCUAUAAAGGAGGAAAACCCAUGAAAUAAUGAAGAUGAAUGCA